rnacentral:rRNA from 1 species
AUUGCCUACGGGAGGCAGCAGUGAGGAAUAUUGGUCAAUGGACGCAAGUCUGAACCAGCCAUGCCGCGUGAAGGAUGAAGGCCUUCUGGGUUGUAAACUUCUUUUAUCUGGGACGAAAAAAGGCUUUUCUAAGUCGUCUGACGGUACCAGAUGAAUAAGCACCGGCUAACUACGUGCCAGCAGCCGCGGUAAUAAU